rnacentral:rRNA from 1 species
UAGGGAAUCUUCGGCAAUGGGGGCAACCCUGACCGAGCAACGCCGCGUGAGUGAAGAAGGCUUUCGGAUCGUAAAGCUCUGUUGUAAGAGAAGAACGUGUGUGAGAGUGGAAAGUUCACACAGUGACGGUAACUUACCAGAAAGGGACGGCUAACUACGUGCCAGCAGCCGCGGUAAUACGUAGGUCCCGAGCGUUGUCCGGAUUUAUUGGGCGUAAAGCGAGCGCAGGCGGUUUAAUAAGUCUGAAGUUAAAGGCAGUGGCUUAACCAUUGUUCGCUUUGGAAACUGUUAAACUUGAGUGCAGAAGGGGUGAGUGGAAUUCCAUGUGUAGCGGUGAAAUGCGUAGAUAUAUGGAGGAACACCGGUGGCGAAAGCGGCUCUCUGGUCUGUAACUGACGCUGAGGCUCGAAAGCGUGGGGAGCAAACGGG